rnacentral:rRNA from 1 species
GGAAUAUUGCACAAUGGGCGAAAGCCUGAUGCAGCGACGCCGCGUGAGUGAUGAAGGCCUUCGGGUCGUAAAACUCUGUGAUAAGGGAAGAUAAUGACGGUACCUUAUCAGAAAAGACCGGCUAACUUCGUGCCAGCAGCCGCGGUAAUACGAGGGGUCUAAGCGUUGUUCGGAAUCACUGGGCGUAAAGCGGGUGUAGGUGGCCAUGCAAGUUGGAUGUGAAAGCCCCGGGCUCAACCCGGGAAGUGCA